rnacentral:tRNA from 1 species
GCCGAAGUGGUGGAAUUGGCAGACGCGCUAGAUUCAGGGUCUAGUGCCCGAUAAGGGCGUGCGGGUUCAAAUCCCGCCUUCGGCACCA